AUUGAACGCUGGCGGCAGGCCUAACACAUGCAAGUCGAGCGAGCGGCGGAAGGGUGAGUAAUGUAUGGGGACUGCCCGAUAGAGGGGGAUAACUACUGGAAACGGUAGCUAAUACCGCAUACUAUCGGAUAACCCAUAUGGGAUUAGCUAGUGGGGGAGGUAAUGGAUCACCAAGGCGACGCUCCCUAGCUGUUCUGAGAGGAUGAUCAGCCACACUUGGACUGAGACAUGGCCCAGACUCCUACGGAGGCAGCAGUGGGGAAUAUUGCACAAUGGGCGCAAGCCUGAUGCAGCCAUGCCGCGUGUAUGAAGAAGGCCCUAGGGUUGUAAAGUUCUUUCGGUAGCGAGGCGUGAAGUACAGAAGAAGCACCGGCUAACUCCGUGCCAGCAGCCGCGGUAAUAC
rnacentral:rRNA from 1 species